CAGGUGCUAUGGGAGGAGCAGCUUCAUUCCACUACACCCUUACACCAUGAAGUUCUGUCUCACCUCACGAACACAGCAACACGACCAGACAACCAUGGACUGAACCCUCUGAAACCAUGAGGCAAAGUGAAUUUUUCCUCUUUAUGCCAGAUGGAAUUACAGUUUUCUUGAAUCAGAAUAACUCAAAGCAAUCAGCUCACUCCUCUCUCUGGCAGCCAGCUUUGUAAUCCCGGGUCACAUGUCACUUCUAAUCGUGGGCGUGAUGCUCGAGUUUUCCUUGGGCCUUAAUUUCACCCAUGUAAAUCCUCUCCUUCAGCAGCUGCAGAAUCGUGUCAGGGAAAGUAAUCUUAAGGCACACACUUCUGCAAGAGAGAUCAACUGAGCCUGACAUGAAGCCAUGCAACUGGCAGCGGUUCAAGAACAGGGAUUUGUCUUACUCACCUUGGUGGCCUUAUUGGUGAUCAUUGUAUCUGAACAAUUCUAGGAUCUCCUGAGAAAUGAUAGAUCUGGUACUUGAAGAAAGAUCUAGUUCACCAAAUAGUGCAUUAUAUAUCAUCUCCCAGACAGAGGUAGAGGGAC
rnacentral:lncRNA from 1 species